CGGGCGGCAGCAGUAGGGAAUAUUGGGCAAUGGUCGAGAGACUGACCCAGCCAUGCCGCGUGCAGGAUGAAGGCUUUCUGAGUCGUAAACUGCUUUUACCAGGGAAGAAAAAAGGGGAUGCGUCCUCUACUGACGGUACCUGGUGAAUAAGCACCGGCUAACUCCGUGCCAGCAGCCGCGGUAAUACGGAGGGUGCAAGCGUUGUCCGGAUUUAUUGGGUUUAAAGGGUGCGUAGGCGGCUUUUUAAGUCUGGGGUGAAAGCCCGUUGCUCAACAACGGAACUGCCCUGGAAACUGGAGAGCUUGAGUACAGACGAGGGUGGCGGAAUGGACGGUGUAGCGGUGAAAUGCAUAGAUACCGUCCAGAACACCGAUUGCGAAGGCAGCUGCCUAGACUGUAACUGACGCUGAGGCACGAAAGCGUGGGGAGCGAACAGGAUUAGAUACCCCAGU
rnacentral:rRNA from 1 species